AUCAGUGUGGCAGAUUAGUGCAAUGAACUUAAAAUUCAAACAUAAAUAAUUUUAUUUCUCUGGAA
rnacentral:tRNA from 2 species